rnacentral:rRNA from 1 species
UCUGAAUCUGCGAACGGCUCCGCAAACCAGUUGUAAACCAUAGCAAGCAUGCUCCAGGAAAGCCGCAAGGCAGCCCUGGGGCUACAAGGAUAACCCCGGUAAUUCUGAGGCUAAUACAUGAACGUAACCCCUGGUCGAUGGGCAACCUGAGGCCGGGGACCGUGCGAGACCUCGCAAAAAUUUAUCGGAAAAGUCGCAUCGUAAGACCGCCAUACCAAACAGUCCUUUUCUGUCGCCCUCACGGGAGGCCGGAUCGUUCUGGGCGGCUCUUGCAAGGUGCUUCUGACCUAUCAACUAGAUGGCAGCGUAAGGGACAUGCUAUGGU